rnacentral:rRNA from 1 species
CACGCCGUAAACGAUGUCGACUUGGAGGUUGUGCCCUUGAGGCGUGGCUUCCGGAGCUAACGCGUUAAGUCGACCGCCUGGGGAGUACGGCCGCAAGGUUAAAACUCAAAUGAAUUGACGGGGGCCCGCACAAGCGGUGGAGCAUGUGGUUUAAUUCGAUGCAACGCGAAGAACCUUACCUGGUCUUGACAUCCACAGAACUUUCCAGAGAUGGAUUGGUGCCUUCGGGAACUGUGAGACAGGUGCUGCAUGGCUGUCGUCAGCUCGUGUUGUGAAAUGUUGGGUUAAGUCCCGCAACGAGCGCAACCCUUAUCCUUUGUUGCCAGCGGUCCGGCCGGGAACUCAAAGGAGACUGCCAGUGAUAAACUGGAGGAAGGUGGGGAUGACGUCAAGUCAUCAUGGCCCUUACGACCAGGGCUACACACGUGCUACAAUGGCGCAUACAAAGAGAAGCGACCUCGCGAGAGCAAGCGGACCUCAUAAAGUGCGUCGUAGUCCGGAUUGGAGUCUGCAACUCGACUCCAUGAAGUCGGAAUCGCUAGUAAUCGUGGAUCAGAAUGCCACGGUGAAUACGUUCCCGGGCCUUGUACACACCGCCCGUCACACCAUGGGAGUGGGUUGCAAAAGAAGUAGGUAGCUUAACCUUCGGGAGGGCGCUUACCACUUUGUGAUUCAUGACUGGGGUGAAGUCGUAACAAGGUAACCGUAGGGGAACCUGCGGUUG